rnacentral:rRNA from 1 species
UUAAGUUAUUAAGGGCGCACGGUGGAUGCCUUGGCACUAGAAGCCGAUGAAGGACGUUACUAACGACGAUAUGCUUUGGGGAGCUGUAAGUAAGCUUUGAUCCAGAGAUUUCCGAAUGGGGAAACCCAGCAUGAGUUAUGUCAUGUUAUCGAUAUGUGAAUACAUAGCAUAUCAGAAGGCACACCCGGAGAACUGAAACAUCUUAGUACCCGGAGGAAGAGAAAGAAAAUUCGAUUCCCUUAGUAGCGGCGAGCGAAACGGGAAGAGCCCAAACCAACAAGCUUGCUUGUUGGGGUUGUAGGACACUCUAUACGGAGUUACAAAGGACGACAUUAGACGAAUCAUCUGGAAAGAUGAAUCAAAGAAGGUAAUAAUCCUGUAGUCGAAAAUGUUGUCUCUCUUGAGUGGAUCCUGAGUACGACGGAGCACGUGAAAUUCCGUCGGAAUCUGGGAGGACCAUCUCCUAAGGCUAAAUACUCUCUAGUGACCGAUAGUGAACCAGUACCGUGAGGGAAAGGUGAAAAGCACCCCGGAAGGGGAGUGAAAUAGAACCUGAAACCGUGUGCUUACAAGUAGUCAGAGCCCGUUAAUGGGUGAUGGCGUGCCUUUUGUAGAAUGAACCGGCGAGUUACGAUUUGAUGCAAGGUUAAGCAGUAAAUGUGGAGCCGUAGCGAAAGCGAGUCUGAAUAGGGCGUUUAGUAUUUGGUCGUAGACCCGAAACCAGGUGAUCUACCCUUGGUCAGGUUGAAGUUCAGGUAACACUGAAUGGAGGACCGAACCGACUUACGUUGAAAAGUGAGCGGAUGAACUGAGGGUAGCGGAGAAAUUCCAAUCGAACCUGGAGAUAGCUGGUUCUCUCCGAAAUAGCUUUAGGGCUAGCCUCAAGUGAUGAUUAUUGGAGGUAGAGCACUGUUUGGACGAGGGGCCCCUCUCGGGUUACCGAAUUCAGACAAACUCCGAAUGCCAAUUAAUUUAACUUGGGAGUCAGAACAUGGGUGAUAAGGUCCGUGUUCGAAAGGGAAACAGCCCAGACCACCAGCUAAGGUCCCAAAAUAUAUGUUAAGUGGAAAAGGAUGUGGCGUUGCCCAGACAACUAGGAUGUUGGCUUAGAAGCAGCCAUCAUUUAAAGAGUGCGUAAUAGCUCACUAGUCGAGUGACACUGCGCCGAAAAUGUACCGGGGCUAAACAUAUUACCGAAGCUGUGGAUUGUCCUUUGGACAAUGGUAGGAGAGCGUUCUAAGGGCGUUGAAGCAUGAUCGUAAGGACAUGUGGAGCGCUUAGAAGUGAGAAUGCCGGUGUGAGUAGCGAAAGACGGGUGAGAAUCCCGUCCACCGAUUGACUAAGGUUUCCAGAGGAAGGCUCGUCCGCUCUGGGUUAGUCGGGUCCUAAGCUGAGGCCGACAGGCGUAGGCGAUGGAUAACAGGUUGAUAUUCCUGUACCACCUAUAAUCGUUUUAAUCGAUGGGGGGACGCAGUAGGAUAGGCGAAGCGUGCGAUUGGAUUGCACGUCUAAGCAGUAAGGCUGAGUAUUAGGCAAAUCCGGUACUCGUUAAGGCUGAGCUGUGAUGGGGAGAAGACAUUGUGUCUUCGAGUCGUUGAUUUCACACUGCCGAGAAAAGCCUCUAGAUAGAAAAUANGGGCGUUUAGUAUUUGGUCGUAGACCCGAAACCAGGUGAUCUACCCUUGGUCAGGUUGAAGUUCAGGUAACACUGAAUGGAGGACCGAACCGACUUACGUUGAAAAGUGAGCGGAUGAACUGAGGGUAGCGGAGAAAUUCCAAUCGAACCUGGAGAUAGCUGGUUCUCUCCGAAAUAGCUUUAGGGCUAGCCUCAAGUGAUGAUUAUUGGAGGUAGAGCACUGUUUGGACGAGGGGCCCCUCUCGGGUUACCGAAUUCAGACAAACUCCGAAUGCCAAUUAAUUUAACUUGGGAGUCAGAACAUGGGUGAUAAGGUCCGUGUUCGAAAGGGAAACAGCCCAGACCACCAGCUAAGGUCCCAAAAUAUAUGUUAAGUGGAAAAGGAUGUGGCGUUGCCCAGACAACUAGGAUGUUGGCUUAGAAGCAGCCAUCAUUUAAAGAGUGCGUAAUAGCUCACUAGUCGAGUGACACUGCGCCGAAAAUGUACCGGGGCUAAACAUGUUACCGAAGCUGUGGAUUGUCCUUUGGACAAUGGUAGGAGAGCGUUCUAAGGGCGUUGAAGCAUGAUCGUAAGGACAUGUGGAGCGCUUAGAAGUGAGAAUGCCGGUGUGAGUAGCGAAAGACGGGUGAGAAUCCCGUCCACCGAUUGACUAAGGUUUCCAGAGGAAGGCUCGUCCGCUCUGGGUUAGUCGGGUCCUAAGCUGAGGCCGACAGGCGUAGGCGAUGGAUAACAGGUUGAUAUUCCUGUACCACCUAUAAUCGUUUUAAUCGAUGGGGGGACGCAGUAGGAUAGGCGAAGCGUGCGAUUGGAUUGCACGUCUAAGCAGUAAGGCUGGGUAUUAGGCAAAUCCGGUACUCGUUAAGGCUGAGCUGUGAUGGGGAGAAGACAUUGUGUCUUCGAGUCGUUGAUUUCACACUGCCGAGAAAAGCCUCUAGAUAGAAAAUAGGUGCCCGUACCGCAAACCGACACAGGUAGUCAAGAUGAGAAUUCUAAGGUGAGCGAGCGAACUCUCGUUAAGGAACUCGGCAAAAUGACCCCGUAACUUCGGGAGAAGGGGUGCUCUUUAGGGUUAACGCCCAGAAGAGCCGCAGUGAAUAGGCCCAAGCGACUGUUUAUCAAAAACACAGGUCUCUGCUAAACCGUAAGGUGAUGUAUAGGGGCUGACGCCUGCCCGGUGCUGGAAGGUUAAGAGGAGUGGUUAGCUUCUGCGAAGCUACGAAUCGAAGCCCCAGUAAACGGCGGCCGUAACUAUAACGGUCCUAAGGUAGCGAAAUUCCUUGUCGGGUAAGUUCCGACCCGCACGAAAGGCGUAACGAUUUGGGCACUGUCUCAACGAGAGACUCGGUGAAAUCAUAGUACCUGUGAAGAUGCAGGUUACCCGCGACAGGACGGAAAGACCCCGUGGAGCUUUACUGUAGCCUGAUAUUGAAAUUCGGCACAGCUUGUACAGGAUAGGUAGGAGCCUUUGAAACGUGAGCGCUAGCUUACGUGGAGGCGCUGGUGGGAUACUACCCUAGCUGUGUUGGCUUUCUAACCCGCACCACUUAUCGUGGUGGGAGACAGUGUCAGGCGGGCAGUUUGACUGGGGCGGUCGCCUCCUAAAAGGUAACGGAGGCGCUCAAAGGUUCCCUCAGAAUGGUUGGAAAUCAUUCAUAGAGUGUAAAGGCAUAAGGGAGCUUGACUGCGAGACCUACAAGUCGAGCAGGGUCGAAAGACGGACUUAGUGAUCCGGUGGUUCCGCAUGGAAGGGCCAUCGCUCAACGGAUAAAAGCUACCCCGGGGAUAACAGGCUUAUCUCCCCCAAGAGUUCACAUCGACGGGGAGGUUUGGCACCUCGAUGUCGGCUCAUCGCAUCCUGGGGCUGUAGUCGGUCCCAAGGGUUGGGCUGUUCGCCCAUUAAAGCGGUACGCGAGCUGGGUUCAGAACGUCGUGAGACAGUUCGGUCCCUAUCCGUCGUGGGCGUAGGAAAUUUGAGAGGAGCUGUCCUUAGUACGAGAGGACCGGGAUGGACAUACCUCUGGUGUACCAGUUGUCGUGCCAACGGCAUAGCUGGGUAGCUAUGUGUGGACGGGAUAAGUGCUGAAAGCAUCUAAGCAUGAAGCCCCCCUCAAGAUGAGAUUUCCCAACUUCGGUUAUAAGAUCCCUCAAAGAUGAUGAGGUUAAUAGGUUCGAGGUGGAAGCAUGGUGACAUGUGGAGCUGACGAAUACUAAUCGAUCGAAGACUUAAUCAA